rnacentral:rRNA from 1 species
GACGAACGCUGGCGGCGUGCUUAACACAUGCAAGUCGAACGGAAAGGCCCUGCUUUUGUGGGGUGCUCGAGUGGCGAACGGGUGAGUAACACGUGAGUAACCUGCCCUUGACUUUGGGAUAACUUCAGGAAACUGGGGCUAAUACCGGAUAGGAGCUCCUGCUGCAUGGUGGGGGUUGGAAAUUUUCGGCGGUUGGGGAUGGACGCGCGGCUUAUCAGCUUGUUGGUGGGGUAGUGGCUUACCAAGGCUUUGACGGGUAGCCGGCCUGAGAGGGUGACCGGCGACAUUGGGACUGAGAUACGGCCCAGACUCGUACGGGAGGCAGCAGUGGGGAAUAUUGCACAAUGGGCGGAAGCCUGAUGCAGCAACGCCGCGUGCGUGAUGACGGCCUUCGGGGUGUAAACCGCUUUCGCCUGUGACGAAGCGUGAGUGACGGUAAUGGGUAAAGAAGCACCGGCUAACUACGUG